rnacentral:tRNA from 2 species
GCGCCCUUAGCUUAAUUGGAUAGAGCAACGGCCUUCUAAGCCGUAGGUUACAGGUUCAAAUCCUGUAGGGCGCG